rnacentral:rRNA from 1 species
UACGUAGGUGGCAAGCGUUGUCCGGAUUUACUGGGCGUAAAGAGCGCGCAGGCGGUCGUUCAAGUCGCGUGUGAAAGCCCCCGGCUCAACUGGGGAGGGUCACGCGAUACUGAUCGACUCGAAGGCAGGAGAGGGAAGUGGAAUUCCUGGUGUAGCGGUGAAAUGCGCAGAUAUCAGGAGGAACACCAGUGGCGAAGGCGGUGGUCUGGGCCGGAACUGACGCUGAGGAGCGAAAGCGUGGGUAGCAAACAGG